UUCCGGUUGAUCCUGCCGGACCUGACUGCUAUCGGAUUGAUACUAAGCCAUGCGAGUCGUUGUAGCAAUACAAGGCAUACGGCUCAGUAACGCGUAGUCAACCUACCCUAUGGACGGAAAUAACCUCGGGAAACUGAGAAUAAUAUCCGAUAGAACAUUAUGCCUGGAAUGGUUUAUGUUCCAAAUGAUCUAUCGCCGUAGGAUGGGACUGCGGCCUAUCAGUUUGUUGGUGAGGUAAUGGCCCACCAAGACUAUUACAGGUACGGGCUCUGAGAGGAGUAGCCCGGAGAUGGGUACUGAGACACGGACCCAGGCCCUAUGGGGCGCAGCAGGCGAGAAAACUUUGCAAUGUGCGAAAGCACGACAAGGUUAAUCCGAGUGAUUUCUGCUAAAGAAAUCUUUUGUUAGUCCUAGAAACACUAACGAAUAAGGGGUGGGCAAGUUCUGGUGUCAGCCGCCGCGGUAAAACCAGCACCUCAAGUGGUCAGGAUGAUUAUUGGGCCUAAAGCAUCCGUAGCCGGCUCUGUAAGUCCUCGGUUAAAUCUGUACGCUUAACGUACAGGCUGCCGGGAAUACUGCAUAGCUAGGGAGUGGGAGAGGUAGACGGUACUUGGUAGGAAGGGGUAAAGUCCUUUGAUCUAUUGAUGACCACCUGUGGCGAAGGCGGUCUACCAGAACACGUCCGACGGUGAGGGAUGAAAGCUGGGGGAGCAAACCGGAUUAGAUACCCGGGUAGUCCCAGCUGUAAACUAUGCAAACUCAGUGAUGCAUUGGCUUGUGGCCAAUGCAGUGCUGCAGGGAAGCCGUUAAGUUUGCCGCCUGGGAAGUACGUACGCAAGUAUGAAACUUAAAGGAAUUGGCGGGGGAGCACCACAA
rnacentral:rRNA from 2 species